AGCGCAGGCGGGACUGCAAGUUGGAUGUGAAAUACCGUGGCUUAACCACGGAACUGCAUCCAAAACUGUAGUUCUUGAGUGAAGUAGAGGCAAGCGGAAUUCCGAGUGUAGCGGUGAAAUGCGUAGAUAUUCGGAGGAACACCAGUGGCGAAGGCGGCUUGCUGGGCUUUAACUGACGCUGAGGCUCGAAAGUGUGGGAGCAAACA
rnacentral:rRNA from 1 species